AACAUCGCGCACCUGCGGGAACCUGCGGAAGGAUCAUUACAGAGUUGCAAAACUCCCUAAACCAUUGUGAACGUUACCUAAACCGUUGCUUCGGCGGGCGGCCCGGGUCCUUCCCGGCGCCCAUCGGCCCUCGCGGGCGCCCGCCGGAGGUAAACCAAACUAUUGCAUCGUAUGGCCUCUCUGAGUCUUCUGUACUGAAUAAGUCAAAACUUUCAGCAACGGAUCUCAGAUCGGAAGAGC
rnacentral:misc_RNA from 1 species